GUUAAAAAGGACAGAAUGCAGAAACUGCUAGCCCAAACCAUUUAAUCUGCCUCCCCCACACUCCCUCUGGGUAGUUUAUUUGACACAUUUUAAAACCUCACAACACAGACUACAUUUGACUGUGUUCAUGUUAAUUUUAAUUAUUACAGAAAGUAUGUUCUCAAUAAAGGCUGAAGUUGACAGUAAACAAACAAACAAACAACAACAACAACAAAAACUCUAAAAAAGAAGCCACUGGAGGACUAGAACAGGAGAGGAAUCCUGUUCCUGUUUACAAUAAAUUUCAUUACCAUGACAACUCCCGCCACUGAGGACUUAUCACCAUGACUACUUGGGCCACAGGUUCUAAUUGUAAAAUGACAAAUAGGAGGACCAAGAACAUUUAACAAUACCAGGAAACAGUUACCUUAAAUUCAGGGUUGAUGUAAAUGGAGAGAAAAAGAAGCUUAAUGUAGAAAACAAACAAGAUGCUCAGGCAUCUAGCGGCUGCUCUUGAGCCUCUAACUAGGCUACUUCAGUUUUGGAUCAUGUUUUCUUCUUUGUGUCAUUGCGGCCCUGUUUUAUCUGUGACAUUGCAUCCAUGAUAUCCUGAGAGAGAAUAAGAAGUUCUUUCAAAAUUAGCAGCUUUCAAACUGUCCUGAGUCAAAAUGCAUCGGUUUUAUAUCUUGAAGCCCUAGAAGCUCUUGGCCUGGAGACCUGAAUCACAGCAGGAAGCAGGGAGGCCCCGAAGAAAGAAAUGGGUUUUCAGAACUCCACCAUGAAUCAGAAACUGUUUUUGUUUUAUAUAUUAGGAUUUUCUUUUUCUUUUUGAUGGGGGAGGAUUGUCUGCUUAAAGAAGCAAAGCAAAAAAAAAUGUUGGCAAACUCAAUCCAAGACAAUAUCUAGGUUAUCUUCCAGUGUUUUAAUUACAUACUUUGGAGCCAUAGAUAAAAUCUGCAAUGUGAAUAAAAAUGAUUUAAAAAAAUGAAUGCCUGUAGAGGAACACAGACAAAUUCUUGUCCAUUUGUGUCUUUAGGUUUUACAUAUGACUCUGGUUAAUGGUGUAUGCUGCAAAUGGGGUAAGGCAACUUAAUAGUUAAAUUGACAUUCUCUUGACUAAUUACUAUAGAUGAUAUUUGUCUCUGUGAAUCUAAUGGUGCCAAACAGGCUGUACUUGAAGUGAGUCAUAUUGAAUUUGGUGCCUUUACACAGUUUUCUCAGUAAUCAUGUCCCUAUCUUGAAGCAAUUUCACUAUCUGAUUUCAUUGGGAACAUUUGGUUUUGGUGAUCACAAUUACCAAUACGUAUAGCUCUUUAAGUCUGACUUUUAAAAUUUUCACAUUUGUUUGGAA